rnacentral:rRNA from 1 species
UACGGAGGGUGCGAGCGUUGUCCGGAAUCACUGGGCGUAAAGGGCGCGUAGGUGGCUCGUGAAGCGUGCGGUGAAAGUCCGAGGCUCAACCUCGGAUCGGCCGUGCGGACUCGCGGGCUGGAGCACUGUAGAGGCGGGUGGAAUUCCGGGUGUAGCGGUGGAAUGCGUAGAGAUCCGGAAGAACACCAGUGGCGAAGGCGGCCCGCUGGGCAGUGGCUGACGCUGAGGCGCGACAGCGUGGGGAGCAAACAGG